rnacentral:rRNA from 1 species
UUCGUAGGGGGCAAGCGUUGUCCGGAUUCAUUGGGCGUAAAGAGCGUGUAGGCGGCCAGGUAGGUCGGUUGUGAAAACUGGAGGCUCAACCUUCAGAGGUCGACCGAAACCAUCUGGCUAGAGUCCGGGAGAGGAGAGUGGAAUUCCUGGUGUAGCGGUGAAAUGCGCAGAUAUCAGGAAGAACACCCGUGGCGAAAGCGGCUCUCUGGAACGGUACUGACGCUGAGACGCGAAAGCGUGGGGAGCGAACAGG